UCAGUCGAUCUUCUUCAUGGAGAUCGACCAAACAUCAACCUUUAUUUUUUAACUCUUUGUCUGAAAAAUAUUAUGAAUAAACAAUUCAAAAUACAACUUUCAACAACGGAUCUCUUGGCUCUCGCAUCGAUGAAGAACGCAGCGAAAUGCGAUACGUAAUGUGAAUUGCAGAAUUCAGUGAAUCAUCGAAUCUUUGAACGCAUAUUGCGCUCUUUGGUAUUCCGAAGAGCAUGCUUGUUUGAGUAUCAGUAAACACCUCAAAGCUUUUGGAUUUUUUAAUCGAAAAGCUUUGGACUUGAGCAAUCCCAACACCAAUCCUUUUGAGAUCGGUGGCGGGUUGCUUGAAAUGCAGGUGCAGCUGGACAUUCUCCUGAGCUAAAAGCAUAUUCAUUUAGUCCCGUCAAACGGAUUAUUACUUUUGCUGCAGCUAACAUAAAGGGAGUUUGACCGUAUUGGCUGACUGAUGCAGGAUUUCACAAGGGUCGGCAACGAUUCUUGUUAAACUCGAUCUCAAAUCAAGUAAGACUACCCGCUGAACUUAAGCAUA
rnacentral:rRNA from 1 species